UACAGAGACUGCAAGCGUUAUUCGGAUUCACUGGGCGUAAAGGGUGCGCAGGCGGCCGUGUGUGUGAGGCGUGAAAGCCUGGAGCUUAACUCCAGAAUUGCACCUCAAACUACACGGCUAGAGCAUUGGAGAGGGUAGCAGAAUUCACGGUGUAGCAGUGAAAUGCGUAGAUAUCGUGAGGAAUACCAGAGGCGAAGGCGGCUACCUGGACAAUUGCUGACGCUCAGGCACGAAAGCGUGGGAGCAAAAGGG
rnacentral:rRNA from 1 species